AAAGGGAACAUUUCAUUAUCGUUAUUGAGGGGAGGAAUGUCACUUUGAUAAUUUUGACGUUUAUAGGUAACUUUUGGAGUAUGUCAAUAAUGUUCUUUCUCUUUUCUUGUAUUUCAGUAUUUAUUAUUAUAGUCGUAGAUAAAGUAUAGUAUUCAACUUGCGGUAAUGCUCAUAACUCACUGGAUAAAUUACAACUUCAUCUGCGUGAGUUAUGACCUCGCAUUGUGCUUGUGCAGUUUAUUCAUUCAUGCUAGGGAUAUGUAGAAAAAGGCCAAGCUUUCAAAAAAGCUGGCCAUAUUUACAACAUACAAAGCGGACUGGUUUCAUUACUUCUAAAUUAAUGAGUCAGACUUCAGUAAAUUUUCCACCUUAUGAUAUCGAAAUUAUUCAAGUAAGUUGGAUGAAGCAGGAGAAAUUUACUCCUUCAAGGGUACUGACUGGGACAUCAGCAUGUCCCAGAAGUAUUUCAUAAAUGCCCCGUUCGGCGUUCUGCAAUAAAUAUACCCUGGAUGGAAUGAAUUGGGAAUAUAAAGCCACAGAUCAGUGUAUUCAAGGAAAAGGACUUGCAGUCAGACCCAAGGCUUGUUGCUUUUCUGGAUGGAAUUAUUUUCAAGAAUGGGGAGUCAGUGAAAUUAUUGGAAAUCAAAUGUCCAUUCAUUGGUCAAACUAUUUCUGCUGUAAAUACUGAGCAACAUUGCCAAUAUUUGAGAAGAGAAAAAGAAGAGCUAAUUUGAAGGAAUAAAUAAACAUUAUGCUAGAGUCCGAUUAAGUAUGGCAAUUAUGAAUUUAAAAAAUUACGACUCUGUAGUGUUCUCAUCUGGUGAUAAGACAUUCAAAACUGUUAGUAUGCCAUUUGAUGAAGAAUCAGUAUAUUUAUUUAAGAAUCAUUUUUGUACAUAUUAUGUAUUUCUCAAUAUUAUUCUAUGAUUUACCUACAUACAUAUUUAUGUUUUUGGUUAACCGUUGUCCUUACCACGUGUAAUCUUGAGUUUUAUUGGAAAAAUUAAAUAUUAGUAAUUAAUACU